rnacentral:rRNA from 1 species
UACGUAGGGGGCAAGCGUUAUCCGGAAUCAUUGGGCGUAAAGCGCGUGUAGGCGGUUCCGUAAGUCCGCUCUGAAAGCCCAGGGCUCAACCCUGGGAGGCGGGUGGAUACUACGGAACUGGAGUACGGAAGAGGAGAUUGGAAUUCCUGGUGUAGCGGUGAAAUGCGUAGAGAUCGGGAGGAACAUCAGUGGCGAAGGCGGCCAUCUGGGACAACACUGACGCUGAAGCACGAAAGCGUGGGGAGCAAACAGG